rnacentral:lncRNA from 1 species
ACAAAAAUAUUUCAUGUCAUUUGUCAAAAUAAAAGAUUCUUUAACUGCGUUUGCAAUACCACUCUUUUAGACCCGUCCUGUAUUUGUCCUUUAUUAAAGUAUCCUGUAAUAAAGGAUCCUUUAUUUGCCGGUGGCAAUAACUCUCUAAUAUCACUAGCGUGACACGGCAUUUUUUUUAAAUGUCUCAUUUAAAGAUACACAAAGCGUCCUUAUAAAAUUUCAAAAAAACCGCCACCAUGAGCAGGUCGGUCGAUUUUACAAGAAUCUACCGGUCGAGCAAGUCUCGUAAAUUUCACGAUUGCGAGCCACGCUUCACGCAACCGUGUUUGCGUACUUGUGUUUCGAGUUGCGUGGUUGUGCGGGGUUACAAAUUUAAAUCCGUUCCAACAUGCUGUCAAAAUUAAAUCAAUAUGUCAAUAUGGCUUGAUAUGGCUACUGGGUGUAAAAGAUAAAUCUUAUUCUAUCUGUUCUUAAUGAGUUUUAGAUAAUUUUAGUUGUAUUUCUUUGUAAUUUUGUGUUGUACAAAGAUUAAUUUAACAUUUUCUCUGGAAGUAUUAAUUUAGAAAGAUAAUAUGCUUCAUUGGUGUUGUGUUUUGAAGUGUGAAAUGCAAAGUAAUUGUGAUAAAGUCAAGAUAAAGUUCACUUUUAAACUGAACUAAAUAAGGUAUCUGAGAGACAACAAUGGUUAAAUGCAAUACAAUGUACAGGUUUUACUAGCGAAAUGAAAAUUUUACUGUCCUGUCUGCUGUAAUCAUUUUAUAUCUGGAAAACCAGCCGACUUAAUCGAUAAUAACAAUCUCCAGAUUGGGUUCCUUCAAUAAAUAUGGGCUAUAAACACAAUGAAAUAAGUUCCCCAAAAUCUAAAAUGGAGUGGUAUCAAAGGAGAAUUAAAGAAAAACAUAUUCAUAUUGAAAUUAUUUAUAAGGCACUGGACUGUCUUAAAUUCUACAAUAAUACAAGAAUCAGCUAAGAGAAGUGGUCUACAAAAAACCAGGAAGGAAACGGAAUAUGUGGCUACGAAAGGCAAAAGAAAGGUUUACAAAGCAAAUGUGACACAUUUUUUUGAAAUAUUUAGGAAUAUCAGUAAAUUGCAUUAAAAAAAUGUAUGAAAAGAUUUUGUUCAAUAAAAAUGUUUAUAUUUAUCAAGGAUGUAUUAUUUGGUAUGGCCACAUAUCCUCAGUGAUGUAAUAAUACAUCCUAUCUGUUUUUUCAUGAGUUUUGUAAGAGAGACUAAAAACUUGUCUUAGGGUCACCUCCUGUUUUCAUAUGAUAUUUUUUGACUUGUUUUGUAGUAAAUUAAACUAUCUAUGAACUACAAAACAAGUCAAAACUUACAUAUGAACACAGGAGGUGACCUUAAAACAUGUUUUUCCAUCUCUCAUACAAAACUCAUGAAAAAACAGAUAGGAGGUAUUGUCACAUCAGCAAGGAUGUACAGUGAUAAGUGCCCUAAUAACCGGCAAAAUAUGGGCAACAUAUUUAGUUGUGAGAUAAAAAGAAAUGAAACUAGUCGAGCUGGGAAAUUUAGCGAAAUUAACCUUUAAAUUUACGUUAUAUUG